UGGUAUUCAAGUGUUUUUGGUUUUUAGCGUCAACACAAUGAAAACAAAGAUGUAUUUUAGUUGAUAAGUUCAUGUGGAUUUAAAACUUACGAUGUUUUCGUCCGUCUGUGUUCUUUUCCCUGAAGAGAUGAAAAAGAGUCGACUUUAGUUUCAGCAGAUAAAAGCAUCUGAUGAGGAUGUGUAACUUCUCACCUUGAUUUCUCCAUCUGAUGAAGACCACGAGGAUGAUGAAGAGGACCAAUAAACCCACCAGCGGGAUGACGAGCCACGGCCACCAGACUGAGGGAGGAUGAGAACAUUUAAACACAGACACGAGGCACCAAACUGUCUUUAAUAAGUCAAUCAGUGUCUUUAAUUGAAUAAUAACUAUCAAAUGAAUGUAAUAAGAUGUUUCUAACACUUUACUUUAUAGCAGAGAUAUUAAAGACAUUUAAAAAACAUCAGGAGCAACAUGUGGGACUUAUACAUGUGGACGUGGGUCAGUCCGACAUUUAUAAUUCAUGACAAUUAAUAUAACAUCCAUAACAAGGAGAGAGAGGAGGACGUCACUACCUGAUGAAGAGUCGCUCUGUGCAGGUGGUGUAAUGUUGUCCUCCCCCGAUGGGCCUCCUUUGGUGGAAUAUGAUAUGAAACACAAACACAAGAAAAGGAGGUGAAAUAAAUCAGUGUUUACUACCUGGUCUUUAUUGUGGAUUUUAGAAUAUUUAUCACACUUCUAUGGAACCCUUUAAAAAUGUCUGUUUUCUUUAUAGCAGAGAUAUUAAAGAGGUUUAAUAAACAUCAGGAGCAGCAUGUGGGACUCAGACGUGUGUCCUUCAUAAGUUAUGAUUAUUAAUAUAACAUCCAUAACAAGGAGAGAGAGGAGGACGUCACUACCUGGUGGUGCAGGUGGUGUAAUGUUUCCCUCCCCCGAUGGGCCUCCUUUGGUUUAGUGGAAUAUGAUAUGAAACACAGACACGAGAAAAGGAGGUGAAAUAAAUCAGUGUUUACUACCUGAGGAGACUGAAUGAGGAAUAAAAUGAUGUCGUCUUUUCACAAACGUACCUGUUUGUUCAGAUGAGAACUGACUGCAGGCUUCAAACAGCAGAGUUUUUCCGCUCUGAUUGUCUCUCACUUCACAUCUCAGUGACUUAUAAUACUUUGACUUCUGAUGAAGAGGAGCUUUAAACGUCACAGUGGCUUCACAAGCAGCGUGUGACAUCAUCACAUCAGUCUGUUUGCCGUCAUAAAGCCACUCUACUGUGUGUUCACACUCAGAGAAUCUCAACACAAAGCAGGAAAACACAACCAGACCCCCGUAGUCCUUUUCCUCCACUGGUGAAGAUGUUCACAAUGUGAGAAAGACAACAAGAGUAACAUUAACUUCUUCAUAAUUUAAAUGAUAAUAAUGUUUCAGUGUGUGGAAAGUUUGAGCUGAAAUGAUUUAAUGUAAAUACUCACUUGUAAACAUGGACAGAGAGACCACACCAUCUGGACCUUGUUGUUUUCCUGCUUCAUUAAAAUCUCUGUUGGUGUAACGACCAACAUCUUCACCUGAGACGCUUCUUAUAACCAGAGAACAGUUUGCUGUCAAACUCAGUUUGUUGCUUUUAGCUUCUGGAAUCAAAGCGUUAUUAUUAAUCUUCCCAAGUGUAACCAGCUCCACAGAUGAAUCAGUACGAUUGUAAAGCCAAGUAGAACCGUCACAUCUGUCCUGAUCCACAUGGUUAGAAGGCAAAGUGACGUCAUCUCCGGCUCUGACGAGGAAGCGGGGGUCAGGGGGGGUUUGUCCUCUUACUAUUGACACAUAUGAAAGAACUGAGGUAAGAAUACAGAUGUUUAGACUCCAGUCACACGUGAUGAAGACAUCGAUUACAAACAGCAUCAAACGUCCUUUCACUAGAGUCCAGUGGACACUGGACAUGAAGGUGGCCGGUUGGACUCUCCUCACGUUGGUGGAACAGUUGCUGUGUGUUUGCUGUUCUUACCUGCAGCCUGAAGCAGCAGCAGCAUCACACAUAAAGUCCUUUGAGUCCCUCUGAGUUCCACCAUGGUGUCUCUGCUCCUCAAGGCGUCUGACCGAGUGCUUCUUCCUCACAGAUGCAGCUUCUGCUUCCUCUGGUUGCACAGCGUCACUUCCUCGUCGUGCUCAUAGAGACGACGUGUCGGAGCUCUGAGGAUGAGUUUCUUCCUCUUUGCAUCUGGUGGUUGUUUCCUCAGAAGUGAAGAGGAAGCGUUGUGGUGAGAACGUGUGAGAACAGCAGCAGCUCUGCAGGUUUGAGCCUUUAGUGGAGACCAGAUCACGUGACAACUGCUGCUGGUUCCCUCCAUAAAGGGAUCAUGUAAACUUAAGAAGCACAAAAUACCCAGAUGUUUCUUUGAUGUGCCAUUUAGAAUGACAGUAAACAGCUGGCAGAGGAAACAAAGAUAACAUGGGAUUAAAGAGAAUGUUUGCUGUGUUUCUGUGGAGGGAAUGAGGGAACGUCACAGAGUCACAGCGGCCUGACGGGCGUUCAACCUCCAUUCAAAACAACAGAUGAAUCAGCACUUUGUUUGUAAAGCGUCUUAAGAAGCAUCCUGUGUUAUAGCUCUCAAAACCGUAGUGGACCGUAGAUGACAACCAGCUACAACCAUAAUUUACCACCAUUACCGGCACAUUGAGACCAAUGCGUCCAGCUCGCAGACCGGUCCGUCAGUCUGAAUCCGUGAAUAUCUUGCCAACUUUACCGAACUACGGAGGAGCCUGCGCAUAUCUUGUCUCAUUAUUUCGAUAUUUCCAAAAUUGAUCCGUAUUGAAAGUUGGCAAGAUAUUCACAGAUUCACACUUCAUUUUACCAAUACGGACCGGUCUGCGCGCUGGACGCAGCCAUCGUCUGCGCCAUCUUGGAUGAAUUUGGGGCAUGACGGUACAUAGGAAUCCCUAUAUGUGAAUUGCUUUAACAAAACAAACACUUUUAAACUUAAGGUUUUUAAUUCACAACAUGAAUUAAACAUUGUUCAAACAAAACAAAGCUGCAUCUUUUAAAAAGUAAAUUAUUACUUUGUCUCAAGAGUAUAAUAGUAAAAAAAUAAGUCAUAUUUACCUGAGCCCUUGCUGUCUAACAGGGGGCCUCGGACAUAUCAAAAUUGAAUAAAGUGAUCAAACAGCCUGCACUGCAUAAAUUAUUCAUUAAAUAUAGACUAAUCAUUAUUUAAGCUACAAAAGUUCUUUAGUCAAGAGCAGUGAGAAAUGUUCUCUGUUGUUUUGUUCUUUGAUUAGUUUACUGACAGGAAGCUUUAGUGGCCGCGGUCUCUUUAAGAACAGCUGACAGACGCAGAUCUCACGCGCGCCUCAUUCUGUCACAACUCUUCACGUUCACCGUGAGACUGCGGCUCUUAUGUCAUGAAAAAGAUACUCAACAAAUGGACAUUUUGGCAUAAUUGUGUGUGUUAUUGUAAGUUCAAGCAAGAACGAGAACCGUACUUUGGCACGCUGCUGUCUGUGUGUGCACAAUGCGCAAGUGUUGCGGAAGAACACUGUAGCCGGAACUACUUCACUCAGUUAAUGUCUAUGGCGAAUCACGCAGGCGCGGGAUACCUCCGCCGCAGCCGAGCCGACCCCGGGAUAACAUCGUCAGAAUAUAAACACUUAACCCAAUAACCGAUGACUGUUUUUUUACUUAACCUGAAUAGUGAUUCAGGUUAAGUAAAAAAAAACGGUUUGGAAAAUGGAUUCAUGAUGUACUCAUUUUGAACAUAAGUUACAAACUGCAGCAGCUGCUGAGUAACAGUA
ensembl:lncRNA